GAGGAGGUACAAGAUCUAGGAGGCAGGAGACGAUCUACGAGUAUUUGUAUGUGAGCAACUUCAAGUCACUACAUUGAUAAUUUUGGCUGGACGUGCCUUGAGUUCCUUAACUGUGGGUAUUACAAUGGAAGGAUGGUCACAAGGUGCUCACGAUGGCCUUCAAAUUGUCGCAAGCAUCCAAUUAGCUGCAUUUGUGACUGUAAUGUUCAACGACUUGUAUAAAGGGAAAAACAAAAUUCUAUACAAGCAGCAAGGUCAACAUUGCAAGGCGGCUAAAGAAAGAAGGUGACAAUUUCUCCAGGUGAAGUGCUCUGUGAGGAUAAAGCCACAGCGGAAAUAGAGUGCAUAGAAGAAGGAUUUCGUGCCAAGAUAACAUGGUGAUGGAUCUAAAGAGAUAAAAGUUGGUGAGAUAAUGGGAAUGGUCUGGUUCCUAAUGAGACGCACCUUGGAAAUGACUUAAAAAUUUAAACGUCCUUAUGCAUUGUUGUUGACUGGACCAAAUAUGGGCGGAAAAUCCACAUUGUUGCGAACAACAUGCUUAUCAGUUAUGUUGUCCCAAGUUAUACUAGAGGAAAUUCAGCUGCACAUAUGUUACUUGAAGCAUUAAAAUGUUAUCUCUUCAUCUCCAUGUUUUCUUGUUUGCAGCUGGGUUGCUUGGUACCUCGUGAAGAAUUAUCUUCUGUUGAUACCAUCUUUACACGUUUUGGUGCGACUGAUCGAAACAUGUCCGGUGAAAGUAAGUGGGUCAUAUAUUUUUACCCUUGCAAAUUUGUAAAUUUUAACACGCUACAUAGAGAGUGCUAUAUCUACUAAUCUUUUAAAUUGGUCUUUUGUUAGGCACUUUGUAUGUUGAAUGCUCAAAAGAAGCAUCAGCUCUUUAUAAUGCUACCAAAGAUUGUCUUGUUUUUUUUUGAUGAGCUUACUGGGGGAACGAGCACAUUUGAUGGUUAUGCGAUUGCCUGUGUAGUAAGUUCAAUUAUUUUAUUUUGGUGCAUGUGUACAUACAUAAGUAGGAAAAGCCGUCCCAGGGGAUGGGCAGAUGGUCAUUGCAUGGGGCGUUCAAGAGAUCUAGAAGUUACUUCCUGACAGCGAAAUGCUUGCCAGUUUCAUGUCCUCCCCCAUGCAAUAGUAACUGUUCAAAGGCAAAGUCAUGAUUUACCUCUCUAUAAAUGGCCAUGGGACCGAUCGUGUGAGCAUUCCGGGAUCAGUGUAUGACCUUUUGCCACCAUAAGUAGGGAAAACCAACUUAAUCCUAUUAGACAAGAAGAACAUAUCGUAGAUGACACUUUUUGAUAGUUUUGAUCUUGUUUGCGGCAAUUGACCAAAGGACGUAUUUAAAAUUGUAAACUUUUCCAAAGACGUACCUAACUUUUAGAUUUCCUAAAGAGCGUACUUGUUUUCUAUUUUACCCCUCCCAUCAAUCACUGUGGUGUUGAUUUCAAAGAACAAUAUCACAGUGGCGCUUUUCUUUCGAAAAUCAACCUCAAUUUGGUUGGAUAAACUCUAAAAUCAGUACCACUGUGGUGCUAUAACAAUAGCGUAACAGUAGUGUUGAUAUUUGAAAUGCAACAUCACAAUAAUAUUAUUCUUUGAAAUCCAACACCUUUUUAAAUAUAGUAGUGGUUGGCAGGAUGAGUAAAAUGAAAAAUAAGUAUAGAAAUCUAAAGUUAGUUGCGCAGUUUGGGAAUUCCGUAAUUUUAAAUGUGCCGUUGGGACAAUUGCUUUCUUAUUUGAAUUACGAGUAGAAAAGUUAUAUUAAUUGGUUGAUAGGAUUGUUUUAAAUUAUCAAAAAGCCUUGAAAUAAUGACUUUGAACUUUGUUUUUUUAUUGCUUUCGUUGUCCAUAUGUUUCCUUUGUUUUUUGCACAUGGUACAGCCAUCUCACCUAAUCAUUAUUUUGUAUUUAGUAUGUACCCAUAUUCAACGUAAAAGUGGUAAUUUAGAGUUCACAUGUCAGCCUUUAAAGUUUAAACCCUCUGCUAUAAUGUUUUUGCAUCUCUUAGAAAAAGUUUGCUGCAGGUUUCUGUUUGCUGCCCACUACCAUUCACGUACGAAAGAAAAUGGUUCACACCCUCAUGUUAGCCUAUAGUAGCACAUGGUCUUACUUUAAUGGCAGUUUAAUGGCAGGCCUCCCUAAGCAAGUUGUUGAAAUUACCGCAAGUGCUGGCCCAAAGAUAAAACAGCUGAUCAGUCGAAAUUUCACUCCGCCCUGCAUGAGGAAUGGUUGAAAUCGCUCUGAGAUAUUUCAAAGCACAGUGUAAGUCUGAGUGAUGAAGACACAUCUGAUAUAUUUUACUCUGUUUGUGGCGCGAAAUGAAGAGCUUUUAUAAACGCCGGUAGUAUCUUCCGAUCACCACAUCUUAUUUGACAUGCAUUCAUUUUGAAUACAUUUCCGACAAGGCUAUUGAAAGCUUGCAUUUUUUUUUUUUUUGCAUAGAUGCAGUGCAUUUGCGUUGGAAUAUAUCGUGCAUUUUUUUUUGUAAUUAAUACUUAAAAUGCAGUAUUAAGCAAUGUAUUUUUUUUUCUUUUUACCGAUAAUUUGUCAUUAGAA